rnacentral:tRNA from 1 species
ACGUUGAUAGCUUAAAGAUUAGAGCGUAGCACUGAAGAUGCUAAGGUAGCAACAUUGCUUCAAAGUA